AGGCUGUUCUCAGUGGUGCCCAGUGACAGGACAAGGAGCAGUGCCCAUGAGCUAAAACACAAGUUCCAACUUAACACUAGGAGAACAUUCCAUCCAUUGAGAGCUGCAGAGCACUGGAACAGCUGCCCAGGGAGACUCCUAGAGGGCAAACAUUCAGGAAGGUUAUGGCCACAUGAAUGGGAUAAAUGUUGGCCAUCAUUUGAUGGAUCCUCUUGUAUUAAGCAGACAUGGCCCUGCAAGAGGCCCUCUGAGCAUCAUGGGGACCUCCAGCACAAUCGGGAGCUCUGCUUGUCUCCAAGGCAUUGUGGCUCCUGAGGACCAUCCUCAUCCUCCCUGCUGCUGCCCGAGGAAAAAAAUAACUGCUGCAGCUGGUGCUCUCCUACCCUGACUCCCACGCUCAGCAGAGAGGGAGAAGGUGACUGAAUGUGCCCCACACCCCCAGCACUACCUCAAUUUAUCCUGGUCCCCAGAAAUCGUGUCUGAUGCUGAAAAGCCUCCCUGCACACAGACCUCCCCCUCCCAGGAGGGACACUCCAGCCCCAGGAAGGGACUCGGCACUAAAUGGUUGCAGAGAGCCAUGUCUUUUGGAAAUAAAUUGUCUCCUUUUAGAGAGCUGCUCUCUGCAGUCUCUGGGAAGUGACACAUUGUCACUUAAGAUCAUUAACUAUUUGACUGUGAGACUGCUGCCUCUGCAGCACGCGGCACUGGCAGCGCCUGGCUGUUAAUGAAUAAUAAAUUAACACCAUGACUCUGAGCCCUUCCUUUCAUCAGCCCAGGGUUCCAGAGGCCGGAGGAUCUCAAAGGAUCCUCUACAAGCGGCAGUCAAGGUAAUUACCUUCGACCAGCAGCUCGGUGAUGGGUGAGGAGCCCACAGGGGCUCAGUGGUUGCCAGCAUCCCUGGACAUCAGCUCUGUGAGCACCGGCUGCCCACGGGUUUUCUGCAAUGCCCCUCAGCAAUGAACCAACGUGGGCAGCCCAGAGGAAACACCCUGGGACAUUGCAAAAGGCCUUCUCUCAGCUAGAGCUGGGUUUUCAAUCCUGCUCGUGACCCUCCUCACAUAUUCCCUUGCAGGUGUAAGGAAUUGGGGAUAACUCUGGAAACUGAAACAGGGAUGAGCAGCUCGUUGUGCCAGCAAGACCCCUUCUGUGUGGCAGAACAGUGCCAGAACACCCCAAUUACAAGUCUUGGGACUGUCUCUAAUUAUGUUAAUGUUUAGUUUUGCCCGGGGCAUCUUGGUGCUACAAAGAGUGAGGCUGGGUGAGGCUGCAGGAAUUUGACAGCAGCAGCUGGGGAGGGAGGCAGCUCCUCCCAGCCAGGCAGAGAGCGUCUGCCAGACCCCCAAGAGCAGCAAAUGGACAGGAGCACCAGGAUGCAUCUCCAGCCUGGGUUUUCUUUUGGAAAGCCAGGUGAAGGCAGAUGCCCACAAAAGCUGCCCAUUGUCUUACAGUUUGGAUAUUUUUGUAGAUCAGAACGCCAUUCUCCUUCUCCCCUGAAAUUUGCCCAUUAAUUCCCACACCCAGGGUUGUUGCAGUGGUAUAAUCAUGCAACAUGUUAGGCAAAGCCAGAAUGAGACCAAAGGACAACAUAAAUGCUGGGUCUUUUUUUUUAUUAUCAGAGGUUUCAGGGUUAAUAAGAGGUUUUCAAGGGUCAGGUGUUUAGGAAGUCAUCUGCCAUGGGGAACAUUGUCAGGGAGGGAUGCUUUUUCUCAGCUGAAUCCUGUCACGAACUUAACAGGCAUUAAGAGACCUCAAGGCAAGAUUUCCACGGCUUCUCCUGCAGAGAAAGAAAUCAGAGUAAGAAAUCAUAGAACAUCUGGGCUUUUACUGUUGGUCUGUCCUUCUGCGUCACAGAGGACUGUACUCUAUUCCACAUAUUUAUUUUUAUUAUUGACAUAUAAACACAAGAAAAGUUCUUAAUUUAAAACACUAAAUAGUCUGUAGGAAACAGACUUUGUUUGCUGAGAGAAAGCUUUUUUGCAAAUCACUUAAGAGGAAAAUGGAGAACACUACGUUGCCUCUUUAUAUCUGAAAGAAAGGAGUUCCUAGCAAAAUCUCCAAAAGAAAAAAAAAAAUACCCUUGCUGGUGAGACAACAAACAAACCAAAUAAAAGAACUUUACUUUUCCACCAGCGUCCAAGACUGAUUAGCCAGUUUAAGCUAAGUUAAUUCACCACUUAGAAGGUGAAGAGAUUUAUUCCAUACGUACAGGAACGCAUUGCAGAACGUGCAUUUGUUGGGGUAGGUGACACCAUCAGACCCACAGUGGGGGACGUACUCCAUGGUACACA